AACAACACACAAACGCAAUCGCAAAUUUCAACAUCACGUGUUUUCUCUCUCUCUCUCUCUCUUCAUUUAUUUAUCCUUCUUUCUUGAAUAAUUUUGAUAUUGUAUUUUUAAAAAAACCAG
rnacentral:ribozyme from 1 species